rnacentral:lncRNA from 1 species
AGGAGCUAGGCUGGCUGAGCAUGACUAUGAUUAAACUUUUCAUCUGAGGGAGGCUAGGUGAAGAAAGAAACACAUUCCGAUUAAGGCCGCUAUUAGUUAAUGAGCUGAGCACGUGUGCGUGUGCAAUGAUACACACGCACGGACACACCUGUGUGUGCAGGGCAGCACGGAGGUGGAAGGGUGGCACAGCCCGAGGAGGGAGGCAAGGCAGCUGGGAGCAGCACGCAACAUCGCUUGGAGUCGGGUGCAAGAAACUGAGUGUGAGAAGCAGGCAAACAGUGACUGAGGGCAGAGCACGGGGUAAUUCAUCCUGCAACCAUCUUCCAGCAGCUAGCUUCAAAUCUGAACCUGAUGGCUCUCCCUGCAGAUGCAGAGCCAGAAAGUUUGCCUGUAGGGCUGUUCAUUUUCCUUGGCUCCCCUCACUGCCCUGGGAUUUGGCCAGGUGCAUUCAAGAGGUGAAGGUCUGAACUCCCUGGGCCGUAGACAACGCAAGAGGCAAGACACAUCCUGAACACUGGCUCUAUGGAGGGCAGCUGCAGCUUACAGUAGCUCAAUAGUGUCCACAGCAGCUAUAUUGACUGGCAAGAAAAGAAAGGGAGUAAGGAGAGACGCAUGGCAAAGCUGACAGCACAUUCUGGAUAUAAAACCCCCGACUGCAAGACAUUCAGGUGACAACAGUAUGUGAAAGAUCCCUUCACUGGUCUAGACCCUUCCAGGGUCACCGUGACUCAUCCGCUUUUUGAAACAAACAAGUCUGUGCAAAAUAACGUUAAAGGCAAACACUGGCCCUCUCCCCACAAAAAUCCCAAAGAAAAAGAUGAUGAUGAAAUCCAGCUGUUUGUACUACAAGACUUAAUAAAUGUUGACAUUUUUACA